ACACUUGUCCUUUUUAGAAACCCAAAUGGGUUUCCUUUGUAGCUUCAUGCAGCAGUAGGGUGGAUGACAAUCUUUCCCUUUCAAGAAAAGAUAGCAUAGGGCAUGAACCUUGUUGGAGUGCCUAAUAAACAAAAGGAAAAAACCUAGCACAGAUAC
rnacentral:lncRNA from 1 species